CUCCCUCUCUCUUAUUAUUAUUAAAAACAGAAAUCUUUGUAGCAUAAGUUGAAUCGCACUCCACCGUUUCUGUUUGCCAGGGUGAUUAUCAGCUGGGGAGGCCAGCAGACCACACAGGAAUAGAUCAACACCAUGAAACGGUUGCUGGGGGGGACAAUAACACUAUUUCCUACAAUGAUGAGAAUACAGACUCAUCUGAUGAUGAAGCCUCAGAUGAAGAUCUAACGGCUGAACACCUGUCAAGUGGGCCAUCGGAUGACAGAGGGGAGGAUCCACUGCAUGAAAUGCAUGUUGAGGGAGGCACAAACGCUUCAGAUGAGAGUGCAGAUGAAGAUGUAAUGCACGAAGAACAGACUAACUCAGCUCCAUCUGACAACGAUACUCCAGAAGAUCCAACGGAGCAUGUUUUAGACCCAAACUUCAAUGAUGAAAAGAAGAUUUAUGCUGGUUCUUCAGUUACAAUGGGGUCUCUCCUUCUUCUUCUCUUGGCAUUCAUCCUGAAGCAUGGCCUGUCAAAGGCAGCCAAGACCUCCCGGAGCUCCUAAACUUUGUGGUGCCUGGAUGUGUGCCAAAGUCAGGUUGGUUUUUAAAGAAACACUUUCUUGAUUACAAUGACAAGA